GACGAACGCUGGCGGCGUGCUUGACACAUGCAAGUCGAACGGUAAGGCCCUUCGGGGUACACGAGUGGCGAACGGGUGAGUAACACGUGGGUGAUCUGCCCUGCACUCCGGGAUAAGCCUGGGAAACUGGGUCUAAUACCGGAUAGGACCCUGGGAUGCAUGUCCUGGGGUGGAAAGCUUUUGCGGUGUGGGCGGGGCCCGCGGCCUAUCAGCUUGUUGGGGGGGUGAUGGCCUACCAAGGCGACGACGGGUAGCCGGCCGGAGAGGGUGACCGGCCACACUGGGACUGAGAUACGGCCCAGACUCCUACGGGAGGCAGCAGUGGGGAAUAUUGCACAAUGGGCGCAAGCCUGAUGCAGCGACGCCGCGUGAGGGAUGACGGCCUUCGGGUUGUAAACCUCUUUCAGCACCGACGAAGCGCAAGUGACGGUAGGUGCAGAAGAAGGACCGGCCAACUACGUGCCAGCCGCCGCCGUAA
rnacentral:rRNA from 1 species